rnacentral:rRNA from 1 species
UACGGGGGGGAGCAAGCGUUGUUCGGAUUUACUGGGCGUAAAGGGCGCGUAGGCGGCCACCGCAAGUCAGUUGUGAAAGCUCUGGGCUUAACCCAGAAAGGUCAGCUGAUACUGCGGGGCUAGAGUGCAGAAGGGGCAACUGGAAUUCUCGGUGUAGCGGUGAAAUGCGUAGAUAUCGAGAGGAACACCUGCGGCGAAGGCGGGUUGCUGGGCUGACACUGACGCUGACAGCGCGAAAGCUAGGGGAGCGAACGGG